UGGUGAAGGUGCGAGCUUUCUUUGGUACAGUCAUGGAUGUAAUAUGUAAUAUUUGACUGACUCUCGAAUUAUUCGUACAAAGACUAAAUGAAAUAAUAUGUUUGCAUAUGGUGAAUGAAUGAUGACACAUCUCCACUUCUCUCUGCUUGGACUGAAGGGAGCUCCUUUUCUUUGUUUU
rnacentral:pre_miRNA from 2 species